UUUCAAUAAUUUGAGAAAUAUACCACUGAAUUUAUAUUUAAAUAUUUCUCAAAUUGUUUUAUCAAGAAAUUGUUAUUAUGCCUUGCCUAUCAUUUGUACUUGGUUCCUCCUACUUGGACUGGAGAUGAUUACCAGGUGAAGAGACCAUACGGAAUCCGGUCAACCUAAUCCAAAACUCCGCUCGCAAGUCAAUUAACUCAGUUCAACCAAAGGUUUUUUUAUUUUAUUUAUGAAACUACAUUUUGAACAAGCCUGCUAAAUGGACUCACAAGCCGAGUAGGUCGUACAUUUAUUUUUCCUUAUCGUGGUUACAAAAGAAAAUAGGAACAGAAACUAACAAGGACACGAGAGAAGAAACGACGCUCCAUUAGUUUCACUGAACGAAAACCGAUACACCUAAGGACCAGAGGCAGAGUUAGCUGACCAAUCCACGAUGGAGCUAGCCUCACGAUGAUACGAUACAUUGUAAUCACUCAGUCUCUUGAUAGCAAAUGUCAGGUACUGCUAAUGAGAAGAUAACAUUUGCAACCACAUCAUUCCAACCCGACCCGUCCAAGAAUUGCGCGUAAAACCAUGUUAGAAUGAACUUCAAACAAGACCCUGCAACUGGCGUUAUUCCAAGCAACUUGUAAACCAACUAGAAUAAUAACCCGUAGUUUUGCACGAAUAGAUUGCGGAACCCCCUAUCACGGGCCUCGGACUAGCGGCUAGUGUAAUCAAAUGGUCGAAGCCUCCCUUCAUAAUCACUAAAAUUAUCGAGUACCAGCAAGAAUAAUACCAUCAACAUUCCAGAAUUACAAUUCGUUUUAAGGUGCGCCAUGUACACCGUGUUAUAGAAAUAGGGAGGCAAGCACGCCUACCAAUGGCAGUUUUUGCCCCCGUGAAUAAUUUUACAAGCAAUAUUGUUAGGUACUUCAACCUUGCUCCACUAGACAUGACUUCCAGCAACGUCAAAUCAUAAUUAAUUUGACGUUUGGGCACAAGAUAAUCUAGAGUCCUGGUCUCUAAUUAAUAUGCAAGCAAAAUUUUACAAGACAUUGGAUUGUCAAAAUCAUGGAUGAUGACGUCCAAUUUAGGGCAGAGCUCACACCCAAAUGCACUAGUGUUGUGGUCAAUCAUGGAAAGAGGCCUACCUCACCAAAUGCAGGAAGAAGCAGACACAUGAGACAGCUGACAGCCUUCUCAACAACUUUCACGGAUGUGAAGGCAUUGAUAACUGUUUUCUUCCCAUGAACAAACCUUACACCAAAACCACGCGGUGGCAA